rnacentral:rRNA from 1 species
CGGACCGGCGCACGGGUGAGUAACACGUACCCAACCUGCCGUCUACUCUUGGCCAGCCUUCUGAAAGGAAGAUUAAUCCAGGAUGGGAUCAUGAGUUCACAUGUCCGCAUGAUUAAAGGUAUUUUCCGGUAGACGAUGGGGAUGCGUUCCAUUAGAUAGUAGGCGGGGUAACGGCCCACCUAGUCAACGAUGGAUAGGGGUUCUGAGAGGAAGGUCCCCCACAUUGGAACUGAGACACGGUCCAA